UACCAGCUCCUCGAGUGGUCGGGGCGAUUAUUGGGCCUAAAGCAUCCGUAGCCGGUUCCGUAGGUCUCCUGCAAAAUCCAGUCGCUCAACGAUUGGCCCGCAGGAGAUACCGCGGGACUAGGAGGCGGGAGAGGUGGACGGUACUCCACGUGUAGGGGUAAAAUCCUUUGAUCCGUGGAAGACCACCAGUGGCGAAGGCGGUCCACCAGAACGCGCUCGACGGUGAGGGAUGAAAGCUGGGGGAGCGAACCGG
rnacentral:rRNA from 1 species